AGUUUGAUCCUGGCUCAGAUUGAACGCUGGCGGCAGGCCUAACACAUGCAAGUCGAGCGGAAACGAGUUAUCUGAACCUUCGGGGNACGAUAACGGCGUCGAGCGGCGGACGGGUGAGUAAUGCCUAGGAAAUUGCCCUGAUGUGGGGGAUAACCAUUGGAAACGAUGGCUAAUACCGCAUAAUGCCUACGGGCCAAAGAGGGGGACCUUCGGGCCUCUCGCGUCAGGAUAUGCCUAGGUGGGAUUAGCUAGUUGGUGAGGUAAUGGCUCACCAAGGCGACGAUCCCUAGCUGGUCUGAGAGGAUGAUCAGCCACACUGGAACUGAGACACGGUCCAGACUCCUACGGGAGGCAGCAGUGGGGAAUAUUGCACAAUGGGCGCAAGCCUGAUGCAGCCAUGCCGCGUGUGUGAAGAAGGCCUUCGGGUUGUAAAGCACUUUCAGUCGUGAGGAAGGUGGUAGUGUUAAUAGCACUAUCAUUUGACGUUAGCGAC
rnacentral:rRNA from 1 species